AGAGUUUGAUCCUGGCUCAGGACGAACGCUGGCGGCGUGCUUAACACAUGCAAGUCGUGCGAGAAAACCCCUUCGGGGGUGAGUACAGCGGCGGACGGGUGAGUAACACGUGAGCGAUCUACCCGGUGGCGGGGGACAACCCAGGGAAACCUGGACUAAUACCGCAUACAGCGGAGGGAGUAGGUGCCCUUCGUGAAAGCUGGCCUCUCCAUGGAAGCUAGCGCCGCCGGAGGAGCUCGCGGCCUAUCAGCUUGUUGGUGGGGUAACGGCCUACCAAGGCGAUGACGGGUAGCUGACGUGAGAGCGUGACCAGCCACACUGGGACUGAGACACGGCCCAGACUCCUACGGGAGGCAGCAGUGGGGAAUAUUGCGCAAUGGGCGAAAGCCUGACGCAGCGACGCCGCGUGGGGGAGGAAGGCCUUAGGGUUGUAAACCCCUGUCAGGUGGGACGAACCCUGGGUCGACGAAUAGUUGGCUCAGCUGACGGUACCAUCAGAGGAAGCUCCGGCUAACUCCGUGCCAGCAGCCGCGGUAAUACGGAGGGAGCAAGCGUUGUUCGGAAUCACUGGGCGUAAAGCGCGCGUAGGCGGCCGAGUAAGUCGUAUGUGAAAGACCGGGGCUCAACUCCGGUAUUGCAUGCGAUACUG
rnacentral:rRNA from 1 species